GACGAACGCUGGCGGCGUGCUUAACACAUGCAAGUCGAACGAAGUGGCGAACGGGUGAGUAACGCGUAAUCAACCUGCCCUUCAGAGGGGGACAACAGUUGGAAACGACUGCUAAUACCGCAUACUGAAGGAGGGGAUUGCGUCUGAUUAGCUAGUUGGGGGGGUAACGGCCCACCAAGGCGAUGAUCAGUAGCCGGUCUGGGAGGAUGAACGGGCACAGUGGGAAUGGGGCCCGGCCCAGACCCCUACGGGAGGCAGCAGUGGGGAAUCUUCCGCAAUGGACGGAAGUCUGGCGGAGCAACGCCGCGUGGGGGAUGACGGCCUUCGGGUUGUAAAGCUCUUUUAAUCGGGACGCGGUACCGGAAUAGAAAGCCACGGCUAACUACGUGCCAGCAGCCGCGGUAAUAC
rnacentral:rRNA from 1 species